rnacentral:rRNA from 1 species
ACACAUGCAAGUCGAACGGGCUCUUCGGAGCUAGUGGCGGACGGGUGAGUAACGCGUGAGAAUCUGCCUUCAGGAGGGGGAUAACGACUGGAAACGGUCGCUAAUACCCCAUAUGCCUCUGGGUGAAAAGUAAUUCGCCUGAAGAUGAGCUCGCGUCAGAUUAGCUAGUUGGUGGGGUAAGAGCCUACCAAGGCGACGAUCUGUAGCUGGUCUGAGAGGAUGAUCAGCCACACUGGGACUGAGACACGGCCCAGACUCCUACGGGAGGCAGCGGUGGGGAAUUUUCCGCAAUGGGCGCAAGCCUGACGGAGCAAGACCGCGUGGGGGAUGACGGCCUAAUGGUUGUAAACCCCUUUUCUCUGGGAAGAAGACUGACGGUACCAGAGGAAUCAGCCUCGGCUAACUCCGUGCCAGCAGCCGCGGUAAUACGGAGGAGGCAAGCGUUAUCCGGAAUUAUUGGGCGUAAAGCGUCCGUAGGUGGUUAUUCAAGUCUGCUGUCAAAGCGUGGGGCUCAACUCCAUAGAGGCAGUGGAAACUGAGUGACUAGAGUGCGGUAGGGGUCGAGGGAAUUCCCAGUGUAGCGGUGAAAUGCGUAGAUAUUGGGAAGAACACCAGUGGCGAAAGCGCUCGACUGGGCCUGCACUGACACUGAGGGACGAAAGCUAGGGGAGCGAAAGGGAUUAGAUACCCCUGUAGUCCUAGCCGUAAACGAUGGAUACUAGGUGUUGCUCGUCAUCGACCCGAGCAGUGCCGUAGCCAACGCGUUAAGUAUCCCGGCUGGGGAGUACGCUCGCAAG